CUAUACUUGACAGUCACUGAUGAUAGUUCAACACAUUUUAGGAGCUUGUAUGUAAAGAAACAUGCAGGUUCUUCUGGCCUUGUUUUUUAUACUCUCUGUGGGUGCUGCACAGAAUAGAAGAAGACAAAGCUUUGAGUGGGACUACAAAGUUGAGGCUGAGAAAGUGAACACCAG